UAAAAGAAAGCCUUUCAUUGAGGGUUAG
rnacentral:piRNA from 1 species